AACGCACAUUGCGCCCUCUGGUAUUCCGGGGGGCAUGCCUGUUCGAGCGUCAUUACAACCCUCACGCCUGGCGUGGUAUUGGGCUCGCCCUGUAGGGCCUGCCUCAAAGUCAGUGGCGGCACCGUUUGACCCCUAAGCGUAGUAAUACUCGUCGCUUCUGGUGUCCGGCGGAGGCCUGCCAGCAACCCCCAAAUUUUUUUAAAGGUUGACCUCGAAUCAGGUAGGGAUACCCGCUGAACUUAA
rnacentral:misc_RNA from 3 species